UUGUAAUUUCUUAUACUUGUUUCUAUUUCUCGGGCAGUUGCUCGAUGAAAAAUAUUACGUAGCCUGUGGUUAAGUCCGUUAACUUACCUCAUCUAGACUAAGUCUAUUUUGUGAGCGAUUUUUGCUACAAAGAUGCAUCGUUUAAUUUAAAACGAAAAGUUGAAAGCUUUCCUGUACAAUUCUUUUAAAUAUUAAAUUAUUCAAUAGAAGAAUCGAUUUGCCAAGGUGUUUGUAGUUUUAGUUGGAAAAUUUCUCUGGAAUGUAAUAAUGUGCCUUAGAUUCGGCUGUCCGAGGAGCGCAUGUCCCACGGAUGCAGAGUUUUUUCGCGGUCGGAGAUGCUUAAGAUAUCUAUGUAUCUGAAGGUGUAACAUAAAGAUACGUUUUGAUAAUAUGAAUAAUAAAUAUAACGCCAAGGAUAAUUCUAUUGGGUUGGCAACUAAGUGAUUUGGUGGUAAUGACAAGAUCCGCAACCACUUAGUUGUCAACCCAAUAGUUGUCAUAUCGGUUAUAGGUUAUAUCGAUUUGUUUUUCUUAGCAUAGAUUGUCGGCGAGCAUGGAUGCGGUGGUGCAACAGAGGGGAAAUCGACUGCGACGAAUAACAAGAAGCAGCAGCAGAAAUAAAGAAGGACAGGAAGAAGAAGAAGCGCGUGAAUGUGUCAAAUAUGUAAAAAACAAUAUUGUAGGUUAGACGCGAGAAGAUUUGAAACAAGUAAGAAAGGAAUGAAAAGAGAGAAGUAAUUGAGCUUUAUUUGCAAAGUGGGAAUAGAAUAGAUAAUAGGUAAUAUGUAAGGCAAUAUAAUUUUGUGGAUGAUAGAAGAACGGAUUUGUUUGGAUUCCAGAAGACUAAAGAAUAGGUAAAGAUGCAUUUAGGAGAUAUAUAUGUGUGCAUUGUUUAUUUGACCAUUGACCAUAAACUGCGAAAUUAGGCUUAAAAAAUAUAGGAUGACAGAUGGAAUAGUUUUGAAAGGUUAAGAAUAUGGUGGCGUUAAGAAAGGUGUAAUUGUGAACAAUGUACAAUGGGAUCGGGCAAUGGGAUGGAAUAUCAUUACGGAAGGUAGUAAUUAUAAUCUGGAAAUAUAUUAGUAAGGAAAAACACGGUUGGAAUCUUGUAAUCAUACUGAUACUAUAUGGAAAGUGAUUAACGUUAAAUGAAUUACACUUAAAGGAAUGAAACAUACUAAUGAUAAUGAUAUAGAAUCGUAUUAUUAAAGCUAGUAAUUAUAUAGAGUUAUAGAGGAAAUAUGGAGGUAAUUAGGGCGGACUGUAAGGGUGGAUGAGAAUUAUGGCGCAUUACGGACACAGACAGGAAAGAGAAAUUGUGUCUGUUAGAAGAAGGUUGAGCAGGAGGGAAUAGAGAGAAAGGAAAUUAUUGAAGAGCUUAAUGUCAUUUGAGAAAGGAAAAAGUCGGGGAAGACGAAGAAGAAACAAAUGUAAUUAUUGUAAGUGGAAAAUGGCUGGUGAAUGGAAAUAAAGAGGGUAUAGGAUAAUAGGAUGUAUCUAAACUGUCUUUUUGACGGAUAGAUGAAAGAAAAAGAAGAGCCGUGAUUGUGGAAGAAAUGGAUUAAGCACAAAUGUAUGUUUAAGUAAGCGACACGUAAAAAACACGGUUAUUAUAGUCAACUUUUUGCGCGACUAACGAGACAUUAGCGAUCCGAUUUUACGACUUAUACACUGUACGAGCGUAUCAGCGAAUAUAGCCUGUAUACUAAUUUAUUAUUUUAAAUAUAUUCGACGGUUCAACAAACAA